rnacentral:rRNA from 1 species
GACGAACGCUGACGGCGUGCUUAACACAUGCAAGUCGAGCGGUAAGGCCCUUUCGGGGGUACACGAGCGGCGAACGGGUGAGUAACACGUGGGUGACCUGCCUUUAGCUCUGGGAUAAGCCUGGGAAACUGGGUCUAAUACCGGAUAUGACUCCAUGACGCAUGUUGUGGGGUGGAAAGCCUUGUGCGGCUGGGGAUGGGCCCGCGGCCUAUCAGCUUGUUGGUGGGUGAUGGCCUACCAAGGCGA